ensembl:snRNA U1 U1 spliceosomal RNA
AGUCUUACCUGACAGAGAUACCUCCGUGAUCAGGAAGGUGGAUCGUCUAAAAGAGGAGCAGCCAUUGCAUUUUGGCUGUCUGACCUUUAUGAAUUCUCCACAUAUGGAAAUCUCAACUGCGGAAUGUAUGGUCGUGGGGACUGCGUUCGUGCUUUUCCUG